rnacentral:rRNA from 1 species
CCUACGGGGGGCAGCAGUGGGGAAUAUUGCACAAUGGGCGCAGGCCUGAUGCAGCCAUGCCGCGUGUGUGAAGAAGGCCUUCGGGUUGUAAAGCACUUUCAGCGGGGAGGAAGGCGUUAAGGUUAAUAACCUUGUCGAUUGACGUUACCCGCAGAAGAAGCACCGGCUAACUCCGUGCCAGCAGCCGCGGUAAUACGGAGGGUGCAAGCGUUAAUCGGAAUUACUGGGCGUAAAGCGCACGCAGGCGGUCUGUCAAGUCGGAUGUGAAAUCCCCGGGCUCAACCUGGGAACUGCAUUCGAAACUGGCAGGCUAGAGUCUUGUAGAGGGGGGUAGAAUUCCAGGUGUAGCGGUGAAAUGCGUAGAGAUCUGGAGGAAUACCGGUGGCGAAGGCAGCCCCCUGGACAAAGACUGACGCUCAGGUGCGAAAGCGUGGGGAGCAAACAGGAUUAGAUACCCUUGUAGUC